rnacentral:rRNA from 1 species
UACGAGUGGUCCAAGCGUUAUCCGGAAUUAUUGGGCGUAAAGGAUAUGUAGGUUGUCAUAUUAGUCCGGUGUCUAACCCCUCGGCUCAACCGGGGAUCAGCAUUGGAAACGGUAUGACUAGAGUAUGUUAGAGGUAAGCGGAACUCAUAGUGUAGGGGUGAAAUCCGUUGAUAUUAUGGGGAACACCAAAAGCGAAGGCAGCUUACUGGAACAUUACUGACACUGAAAUAUGAAAGCGUGGGUAGCGAAUGGG